rnacentral:rRNA from 1 species
UACGAGUGCCCCGAGCGUUAUCCGGAAUCAUUGGGCGUAAAGGGUGUGUAGGUGGUCGCGUUAGUCUCCUGUUAAAUUCUUCGGCUUAACCGGGGGCAUGCAGGGGAAACGGCGCGACUAGAGGAUGCGAGGGGUGAAUGGAACUCAUGGUGUAGGGGUGAAAUCCGUUGAUAUCAUGGGGAACACCAAAAGCGAAGGCAGUUCACUGGCGCAUUCCUGACACUGAGACACUAAAGCGUGGGUAGCGAAUGGG